rnacentral:snRNA from 10 species
GGAUGGGAAGAUGAUCUGGCUGCGACAUCUGUUACCCCAUUGAUUCGGCUGAUCUGGCUGGGUUGAUUGGGCUGAUCCAGCUGGCUAGGCGAGUGACCCCUUCCUCUGUCACCGUGCCAUGUGUGUCCCUCCCGAAGCUGUGGACUCAGUGAAAGAAAUCGAUCAUCCCCGAUAGAAGAGGACCGGUUUUCCGUCAAAGGAAUACGAGUAGCUGCACUAUUCUGCUAGAACCUCCAAACAAGCUCUCAAAAAUCCAUGUUUAACUUGAUUUUUCUACCGUAAACCUCAUCUAUUUUUUAAAUUCAACAAU